UAUCCAAGAUUCUGAUUCGGUUGUUGCUGACAAAGAUCAUCAAUUGGCCUUCAACCUGGCCAAGAGUGUGUGCCUCCCCAAAGAUAUGGAGCACCACCAAAAGCAACUAAACACCGAAUUGAAGUCCAUCCGGUCUUCAUCAAAGUCCAUGAUUUUGGCCUUACAGAAAAACAACAUUACUUACAAGAAAGUCCUAGAGCUCAG